UACGGGGGGGGCAAGCGUUGUUCGGAAUUACUGGGCGUAAAGAGCUCGUAGGCGGUUUGUCGCGUCUGCCUGUGAAAACUCGGGGCUCAACUCCGAGCUUGCAGUGGGUACGGGCAGGACUAGAGUGCGGUAGGGGAGACUGGAAUUCCUGGUGUAGCGGUGAAAUGCGUAGAUAUCAAGAGGAACACCUGCGGCGAAGGCGGGUUGCUGGGCCGACACGUGACGCUGGAGGCGACGAAGCUAGGGGAGCGAACGGG
rnacentral:rRNA from 1 species